rnacentral:rRNA from 1 species
AGAGCGAACGCUGGCGGCAGGCUUAACACAUGCAAGUCGAGCGGGCGUAGCAAUACGUCAGCGGCAGACGGGUGAGUAACGCGUGGGAACGUACCUUUUGGUUCGGAACAACACAGGGAAACUUGUGCUAAUACCGGAUAAGCCCUUACGGGGAAAGAUUUAUCGCCGAAAGAUCGGCCCGCGUCUGAUUAGCUAGUUGGUGAGGUAAUGGCUCACCAAGGCGACGAUCAGUAGCUGGUCUGAGAAGAUGAUCAGCCACAUUGGGACUGAGACACGGCCCAAACUCCUACGGGAGGCAGCAGUGGGGAAUAUUGGACAAUGGGCGCAAGCCUGAUCCAGCCAUGCCGCGUGAGUGAUGAAGGCCCUAGGGUUGUAAAGCUCUUUUGUGCGGGAAGAUAAUGACGGUACCGCAAGAAUAAGCCCCGGCUAACUUCGUGCCAGCAGCCGC